GACGAACCGUGCGAACGUUGUUCGGAAUCACUGGGCUUAAAGGGCGCGUAGGCGGCAUAUCAAGUCCGGGGUGAAAGCCCCCAGCUUAACUGGGGAAGUGCCUUGGAUACUGGAGUGCUAGAGGGAGGUAGGGGUCGAGGGAACUUCUGGUGGAGCGGUGAAAUGCGUUGAUAUCAGAAGGAACGCCGGUGGCGAAAGCGCUCGACUGGACCUCUGCUGACGCUGAGGCGCGAAAGCUAGGGGAGCAAACGGG
rnacentral:rRNA from 1 species